ensembl:lncRNA
GGGUUAGUGUGUUAGGGGUUAGUGUGUUAGGGGUUAGUGUGUUAGAGGUUAGUGUGUUAGGGGUUAGUGUGUUAGGGGUUAGUGUGUUAGAGGUUAGUGUGUUAGGGGUUAGUGUGUUAGGGCUUAGUGUGUUAGGGGUUAGUGUGUUAGGGGUUAGUGUGUUAGGGGUUAGUUUGCCUGACUGUCUCUAUCUGUGUCUCCCCCUCUCUCUUUUUGGGUAUCUCUCUCUUUUUCUUUCCAUGUCUCUGUCUAUCUUUCAGUGUCACUUUGGGUUGCUUUAUCUCUCUCUUUCUGUGUCUCUCUCUCUCUCUCGUGUUUCUCUCUUUUCAUCUCUUGUGUCUCUCAUUCUCUGUCUGUAUCACUGUCUCUAUCCCACACUUUUUCUUUUUGUGUGUCUUUUUCUAUAACUCUCACUGUCUCUGUUGUUUUGGGUGUAUCUCUCUCUCUCGUUCUCUCUUUGGGUGUCUCUCGCUCAGUCUGUCUUUCUCUUCAAGUGUCUCUCUCUCUCUCUGUCUAUAUCUCUCGCUCUCUCUUUUCCUGUCUCUUUUUUUUAUAUCUUGGGUCUCUCUCUCCUUGAGUGUCUCUCUUUCUCUCUCUGGGUUGCAAUCUUUCUCUUAUUGG